GGUAGUGUUCUAUAAUAUUAGAGUGUUCUAUAACUUUUUAUUUUUUAGGGUUAGUAUUCUAUAAUAUUAGAGUGUUCUAUAACUUUUUCUUUUUUAGAGGUAGUGUUCUAUAAUAUUAGAGUGUUCUAUAACUUUUUCUUUUUUAGAGGUAGUGUUCUAUAACUUUAGGGCGUUCUAUAACUUUAGGGCGUUCUAUAACUUUAGGGCGUUCUACAACUUUUUAUUUUUUAGGUGUAGUGUUCUAUAACUUUAGGGCGUUCUAUAACUUUAGGGCGUUCUACAACUUUUUAUUUUUUAGGGGUAGUGUUCUAUAACUUUAGAGCGUUCUAUAACUUUUUCUUUUUUAGAGGUAGUGUUCUAUAACUUUAGGGCGUUCUACAACUUUUUAUUUUUAGGGGUAGCGUUCUAUAACUUUAGGGCGUUCUAUAACUUUAGGGCCUUCUAUAACUUUAGGGUGUUCUAUAACUUUAGGGGUGUUCUAUAACUUUUUAUUUUUCUAGGGUUAGUGUUCUAUAACGUUUAGCGCGUUCUAUACCUUUUAUUUAUUCUAUUACUUUAGUCCUUUCUAUAACUUUAGACUAUUCUAUACUAGUAGCUAUUAUAUCCUUUUUAUAAUACUUAUUAUAUCAUACUAUUAUCUAUUAUUCUUUACUGUUAAGUAUAUCCUUAUAUUUUAUAAAACCUUUUCUCUACUAGCUAGUCCUACUAUACUUUCUUUUAUAACCUACUAGUAUUAAAUAAUACCUUUAUAUUCUUCUUUUAUACUAUCUCUAUUUCUUGCCUUAUCUAUUAAGUAGAUAUAGAUAGAGCUAAUAGAUCUAUAGUUAAUAUAGAUACAGUAGUUAUAGUAGAGUACAGAUAUUAGAGUAGAUAUCCUUAUCUAUAUAUUUACCUACUACUAAUAAAAUUCCAAGUUACUCUUAUCCAGCGUACAAUAGCGGGUUUAUGGUUUGUAUGGGGCUGCGCAUGUCUACACGGUUUUACAUACAAAAAAGUGUACCUCCGAGCUGUUUUCCGCCGCACUAACCCCGCGACGCGAAAAUCAAACCAAAACCCGUUCCUAUAAUAUAUAAGGAGGGCAAAUGGAUUCUCAAAUACCAAAUGCCUAACCAACCAACUAAGGUUAAAUCUGCUGCGCGCAGUUCUUGGAUCGGGCGGUUAAACUGGCGUCGUUAGGCACUGAGGGGGCAAUUUUUGCUCGUGUCCGCGUCUAUACUCCCCACAACUCCCUGUUGUUGGCGCUCUGCGCCUGUUUCAGCGGCAGUUGGACUAAAUUUGAAAGUUUUGGUUUCAUAAUGGCUAGCCUUGUUUCCCAGAUUUCUGCCUGGUUUGGAUUCGCUCCAAUCGGUGGGUAAUCAGGGGCUUGGAGAUUGCUCUUCUACUUGACUAGGCAGGCCUAGGCCUAUAUGCUGAAGCAACCCUGCUGUUGCGCCUAGUUUUGUGGUUGGCACCUGAAGUCCUACUGUUAAAGUUUUAGCAGUGGGCAAAAUUUGGGGUCUGUGGAUGGCUGGCACUGCCAAACUAUUCAACAGAUCUUGGGGGACAGCCCUGCCCAGCAUCCGCUCCUAGUGAGCGUGGCAAAGCGUGGGUUUUCUCCACUUGAGGCAUGUAUGUGGCGAGUUUGAACACGCGGAAACGCCUGUCGGGCUUCGUUGCGGACCAUUCCUUGAGAAACUCAGUGGGGGCAAUUGAAUCAGUUGCUGGUUGUAACUAGUGCCUUGUGUGCUGUUAUGCUAGUAGCUAGAAUCGCUUCUGCGAUUUCUUAUCACGUACUUUCCGCCUCCUUUUGGGGGUAGUGCUUGUGCGCUUCGGCGUAUUAGGCAUCAGGAUUGUUACCUGGUUGAUUCUGCCAGUAGUCAUAUGCUUGU
rnacentral:rRNA from 1 species